GACGAACGCUGGCGGCGUGCUUAACACAUGCAAGUCUACGAGAACGAGGUAGCAAUAUCUUUAUUAAAGUGGCGCACGGGUGAGUAACACGUAAGUAACCUACCUUUAGAUUUGGAAUAACCCCGAGAAAUCGGGGCUAAUACCGAAUGAUGCAGCGGCAUCACAUGGUGAUGUUGUUAAAGUCUAUAUGACGUCUAAAGAUGGGCUUGCGUCUGAUUAGCUAGUUGGUGAGGUAUCGGCUCACCAAGGCUACGAUCAGUAGCUGGUCUGAGAGGAUGAUCAGCCACACUGGAACUGAGACACGGUCCAGACUCCUACGGGAGGCAGCAGUGAGGAAUAUUGGGCAAUGCCCGGAAGGGUGACCCAGCAACGCCGCGUGGAGGAUGAAUGCCGUAAGGUUGUAAACUCCUGUUAGAGGGGAAGA
rnacentral:rRNA from 1 species